rnacentral:rRNA from 1 species
AGUGAACGCUGGCGGUAGGCCUAACACAUGCAAGUCGAACGGCAACACAGUAAGAGCUUGCUCUUACGGGUGGCGAGUGGCGGACGGGUGAGGAAUACAUAGGAAUCUACUUUUUCGUGGGGGACAACGUAGGGAAACUUAUGCUAAUAGCGCAUACGACCUACGGGUGAAAGCAGGGGAUAUUCGGACCUUGCGCGACAGUAUGAGCCGGUGUCGGAUUAGCUAGUUGGCGGGGUAAAGGCCCACCAAGGCGACGAUCCGUAGCUGGUCUGAGAGGAUGAUCAGCCACACUGGAACUGAGACACGGUCCAGACUCCUACGGGAGGCAGCAGUGGGGAAUAUUGGACAAUGGGCGCAAGCCUGAUCCAGCCAUACCGCGUGGGUGAAGAAGGCCUUCGGGUUGUAAAGCCCUUUUGUUGGGAAAGAAAAGCAGCAGGUUAAUACCCCGCUGUUCUGACGGUACCCAAAGAAUAAGCACCGGCUAACUUCGUG